GAUUAAUGUUUUAUUUUCAUGUCAAACAAGUCAGAAAUAUCUGUUUUCGUAUGUAUUGUAAGUCAAAAACUUGAAAUCACAAUAAAUCACACGCUACAAUUUACACGCAUGCGCAGAUCAUGCUCAUGUCGAAUCGAUUUUUUUUCAUGCUGGCUGCGCCGAUUUUUUAAACUUUGUAUUUUUGUUAUACAGGAGGAGUGGUACAACAUACCCAAAUUUUAAGAAAUUCUACAAAUAACUUUUUCUGUAACCGUCAUUCACGAUAGACGAACUCCCACCACAGCUGUAUUCGUAUACAAGACAGCUGCUGCCAGAUGAUAGUUAGAUAUAUAUUUGGGCGUUACCAUCACUCAUACUAUAGCUGGAUAGUCAGGGAGGCCAGAAAAAACCUGCUAUAUACAGGAAACCUGGAUGGGGCCAAGACAACCAGCAGCUUCCCCACAAAGCUUCUAUCUUACAAUUUCUUAAUUGGAGGGUUGGUAACACGACAAACAAAGCUCACCAUCAAGGCACACUUUUUUUUUUCUUUUUUUUUAAGUUAAUGUAUUCAUGAAUACGCUUUGCACAACAUUUAUUUAACUACACUUAUUUUAUUUCAAUUAUGAUUGGUGGAACUUUCUCGAAUUAUGUGACUACUCUCAGAAAAAUAGCUUAUUCAUUACUUUAAUUCAAAAUAGCAGGACCAAAAUGCCAUUCAGGUGCUUAUAAACACUGUGGUGCG